AAAUUGAAGAGUUUGAUCAUGGCUCAGAUUGAACGCUGGCGGCAGGCCUAACACAUGCAAGUCGAGCGGUAGCACAGAGAGCUUGCUCUCGGGUGACGAGCGGCGGACGGGUGAGUAAUGUCUGGGAAACUGCCUGAUGGAGGGGGAUAACUACUGGAAACGGUAGCUAAUACCGCAUAACGUCGCAAGACCAAAGUGGGGGACCUUCGGGCCUCAUGCCAUCAGAUGUGCCCAGAUGGGAUUAGCUAGUAGGUGGGGUAACGGCUCACCUAGGCGACGAUCCCUAGCUGGUCUGAGAGGAUGACCAGCCACACUGGAACUGAGACACGGUCCAGACUCCUACGGGAGGCAGCAGUGGGGAAUAUUGCACAAUGGGCGCAAGCCUGAUGCAGCCAUGCCGCGUGUGUGAAGAAGGCCUUCGGGUUGUAAAGCACUUUCAGCGGGGAGGAAGGCGGUGAGGUUAAUAACCUCACCGAUUGACGUUACCCGCAGAAGAAGCACCGGCUAACUCCGUGCCAGCAGCCGCGGUAAUACGGAGGGUGCAAGCGUUAAUCGGAAUUACUGGGCGUAAAGCGCACGCAGGCGGUCUGUCAAGUCGGAUGUGAAAUCCCCGGGCUCAACCUGGGAACUGCAUUCGAAACUGGCAGGCUAGAGUCUUGUAGAGGGGGGUAGAAUUCCAGGUGUAGCGGUGAAAUGCGUAGAGAUCUGGAGGAAUACCGGUGGCGAAGGCGGCCCCCUGGACAAAGACUGACGCUCAGGUGCGAAAGCGUGGGGAGCAAACAGGAUUAGAUACCCUGGUAGUCCACGCCGUAAACGAUGUCGAUUUGGAGGUUGUGCCCUUGAGGCGUGGCUUCCGGAGCUAACGCGUUAAAUCGACCGCCUGGGGAGUACGGCCGCAAGGUUAAAACUCAAAUGAAUUGACGGGGGCCCGCACAAGCGGUGGAGCAUGUGGUUUAAUUCGAUGCAACGCGAAGAACCUUACCUGGUCUUGACAUCCACAGAACUUUCCAGAGAUGGAUUGGUGCCUUCGGGAACUGUGAGACAGGUGCUGCAUGGCUGUCGUCAGCUCGUGUUGUGAAAUGUUGGGUUAAGUCCCGCAACGAGCGCAACCCUUAUCCUUUGUUGCCAGCGGUUAGGCCGGGAACUCAAAGGAGACUGCCAGUGAUAAACUGGAGGAAGGUGGGGAUGACGUCAAGUCAUCAUGGCCCUUACGACCAGGGCUACACACGUGCUACAAUGGCAUAUACAAAGAGAAGCGACCUCGCGAGAGCAAGCGGACCUCAUAAAGUAUGUCGUAGUCCGGAUUGGAGUCUGCAACUCGACUCCAUGAAGUCGGAAUCGCUAGUAAUCGUAGAUCAGAAUGCUACGGUGAAUACGUUCCCGGGCCUUGUACACACCGCCCGUCACACCAUGGGAGUGGGUUGCAAAAGAAGUAGGUAGCUUAACCUUCGGGAGGGCGCUUACCACUUUGUGAUUCAUGACUGGGGUGAAGUCGUAACAAGGUAACCGUAGGGGAACCUGCGGUUGGAUCACCUCCUUA
rnacentral:rRNA from 1 species